CCUACGGGAGGCAGCAGUGAGGGAUAUUGGUCAAUGGGGGAAACCCUGAACCAGCAACGCCGCGUGAGGGAAGACGGGUUUCGGAUUGGAAACCUCUGUCCUCUGUGAAGAUACUGACGGUAUCAGAGGAGGAAGCUCCGGCUAACUACGUUCCAGCAGCCGCGGUAAUACGUAGGGAGCAAGCGUUGUCCGGAUUUACUGGGUGUAAAGGGUGCGUAGGCGGGUUUGCAAGUCAGAAGUGAAAUCCAUGGGCUUAACCCAUGAAGUGCUUUUGAAACUGCAGAGCUUGAGUUGGUUAGAGGUAGGCGGAAUUCCAGGUGUAGCGGUGAAAUGCGUAGAGAUCGGGAGGAACACCAGUGGCGAAGGCGGCCUGCUGGGUUCUAACUGACGCUGAGGGACGAAAGCGUGGGUAGCAAACAGGAUUAGAUACCCGAGUAGUC
rnacentral:rRNA from 1 species